UGGGUUCUCCUCAGCCUUGUCAUAGAAUUGGUGUCCAUUUUGAAACAGCUGUAUCACAUUGGUCUUCAACUGAAAAUUAGGUUGCCCAAACGGUGGAUACACUAUGCUGGACUGACUUUGAAUCACUUGAGGAGUCAAGAAAUCCCCCAGAAUCUCAUUCCCUUCGUCCAUUGCCUCUCCUUCGUUAGCAUGAAUCAUGGGAUUGUUUAACUCGUUGGCCAUUUGUACUUGUGCUUCGCGGUGAUUUCUUUGUCGUCGGUGAAAGGUGCGCUCAAUUUCAG
rnacentral:lncRNA from 1 species